rnacentral:rRNA from 1 species
CCCUUAGAUGUUCUGGGCCGCACGCGCGCUACACUGAUGCAUUCAACGAGUCUAAAACCUGCUCUGAUAGGGGUGGGUAAUCUUUUGAAUGUGCAUCGUGAUUGGGGUAGAUGAUUGCAAUUUUUCAUCUUCAACGAGGAAUGCCUAGUAAACGCAAGUCAUCAGCUUGCAUUGAUUACGUCCCUGCCCUUUGUACACACCGCCCGUCGCUCCUACCGAUUGAAUGAUCCGAUGAAUAUCAUGGAUUGAGGAUGCAAGCAGGUUCGCCUGUCUUCAUCUUCGAGAAGUGAAGUAAAUCUUAUCAUUUAGAGGAAGGAGAAGUCGUAACA